rnacentral:tRNA from 1 species
CAGAAAGUAAUUUAUAUAAUAAAAUUUCAAUUUUGGAGAUUGAUAAAAAGAUUUAUCUUCUUUCUGA